CUUCUAUUUUGUUUGGACAGGACUGUGUGGUGAUUACAACGGUAAGGCCGAGGAUGACCUGCAGAAACCUGACAGGUCCCCGGCCAAAGGCCCUACUGACUUUGGGAACAGCUUCAAGGUUGGAGGGGACGUGGGGUGCACCAGCGAGUGUCCCGGGGGUAAAUGUCCUGUCUGCGAGCCAACACUGGCCAUACGUUAUCAACAGAAAGACUCCUGCGGGAUUAUCGCCAACGAGGCAGGACCUUUCAGAGAUUGCCUCGCAAAAUUCGACCAUACCGAGUACCUCAACGACUGUGUAUUUGACCUUUGUGCGUACAAGGGCCACAUUACUGCCCUCUGCAACAGUCUGACAAGUUACCUGGUAGUUUGUCAAGCAGCCGGCGCUGUGGUGGAGAACUGGAGGACCCAACAAUUCUGCCCCCUCCGCUGUGGGGCCAACAGUCACUACGAAGCGUGCGCCGUUCCGUGCCCCCAGACCUGCGACGGCUUCGGCCUCGCG